UGUUGCUGUGUAGGCUGGGCUUGUGCCAAGCUUGAACCCUCUUGUGAAGGAGUUUCUCAAUGCUGCUGAUGACAAGCGGAAGGAAGUCCUCUCUAAAAUAGAAGAGGAUGUUGCUAAGCUCAGUGGUUCUGCAGCCAAGCAUGGAAAGAUAUAUGUGACAGCUGCAAAGAAGAUCAUGGACAAGGGCUCUGACUACACAAAGAAGGAGACUGAGAGGAUUCACCGCAUGCUGGAGAAGUGGUGUAGCUAGUUCAGUAAAGAUGAAAAGCGUCAAACUAGUUGUGGAAUGGUGGUAUUGUUUACAGUACAUGUGUUUGGACUUUGGACACUAGGUUCCAAUGACAUUAUGAGGUCAGAAAUUGUGAUCACCUGCUUGACAAAUGCUAAGACUGUGAUGUGACUUGCAUUUGCAGAUUGCAAACCUAUUCUUACUCAGAAAUUCUUGUGUACAGAUUCCAAGUUCACACAACAGGAGUUGCCAGCUUGCAAGCCGAUUCUUACUCCAAAAUGGGUAGGCUUACGGGUUGUGAAGAUUAUGAUGCUACUGGUAAGUUUGGUCUUACUCAGUUUUCACUUCAAAGUUUGGUGGCUAACACGGUUGCAGGUAUUGUUGGAGGGACGGGCAUCAUGCCUGGAGGUAGGGAUUACAACUAAUUCUUUAUUAUUUGUUGUUUUCCCCUCUGAAAAAAAUUUGUUCUGGCAGCAUUUCAUUUCUGUAAUUUAUUACAAAAAAUAAUAUUUUGGGCAUGACUUAUCUCCC